AGGUCGAUAAAAAGGGUGUGUAAUUUACUGAUUGCGCAUUAACCCUGUUUUCGUUUAUCAGGUCAACUUUAUGAGAUGUUCCACAUUAAAAAAAAAAGUGUUGACGGGAGGUAGUUGCUAUCUUUGGUUAUCUAGCUGUAUGAGUGUUUAUCUGCCUUCAUAAAGCUAGAUAACCGAAAGUAGAAACGUCCCCCUUAACUGCAUAGUGGACAAGUUGGGAAGCAAUGAUCGCAGGGAACUGCAUGAGCCUCUCAAACUGCAGUGUCUUUGUGAGAGACCAGAGGACUGGAGCUAAGGGAGAAAACACCAUCUGCAACUGCCAGCCAUUUACACUGGCUUUUUGGAGCAAGAGGGAGAGAGGAAAAAAUGGUGCAAUUGUCCAAAUGAAAGAAAAGAAAAAUAAUAGGCAACCCUCAUCCUUCUUCUACCAGCUCCCCUCCCUUCUUCGUCAACGGAAGCAUUUAGUGCCAUCUGUGCCCCCAGAGAAAAGAGGAAAAAAAGAAAGGAGUGAGACUCUACAUCCCAAGUGCCAAUGGGGACAAAGAGGCUGCCAGUUGCCACGGACCACCAGAUGCUGGAAGACUGCAAGUCUGAAUGAGGGGUGUGCUUUCAGGAAGCCAUCUUGAUGGAGAAGCUGGCUGCUGCUCCCUAAAAUGGCUGUGUUGGCAUGAGGCUCCUGGCAAUGAAACUGAAAAAUCCCCAUCGUCGUCAUCAGCUACUGGAGAAACCGAGGCCAUCCUGCUAUGUUUGACU